rfam:Triticum aestivum genome assembly, contig: Triticum_aestivum_CS42_TGACv1_scaffold_021316_1AS
UUGUUACUUCCUCUGUCCAGAAAUACUUGUCAUCAAAAUAGACAAAAGAAGAUGUAUCUAGACGUAUUUUAGUUCUAGUCUUUUAGAUAAAUCUCUUUUUAUCCAUUUUGAUGACAAGUAUUUUCGGACGGAGGGAGUAUCUU